GCGACCCCAGGUCAGGCGGGGCCACCCGCCGAGUUUA
rnacentral:rRNA from 1 species